UCUAGUAGCUGGUUCCCUCCGAAGUUUCCCUCAGGAUAGCUGGUGCAUUUUAAUAUUAUAUAAAAUAAUCUUAUCUGGUAAAGCGAAUGAUUAGAGGCCUUAGGGUCGAAACGAUCUUAACCUAUUCUCAAACUUUAAAUGGGUAAGAACCUCACCUUUCUUGAUAUGAAGGUUGAGGUUAUGAUAUAAUGUGCCCAGUGGGCCACUUUUGGUAAGCAGAACUGGCGCUGUGGGAUGAACCAAACGUAAUGUUACGGUGCCCAAAUUAACAACUCAUACAGAUACCAUGAAAGGCGUUGGUUGCUUAAAACAGCAGGACGGUGGACAUGGAAGUCGUAAUCCGCUAAGGAGUGUGUAACAACUCACCUGCCGAAGCAACUAGCCCUUAAAAUGGAUGGCGCUUAAGUUGUAUACCUAUACAUUACCGCUAAAGUAUAUGAUUUAUAUUCAAUUUCGGUUGAAUUUAUAAAUUUUGAAACUUUAGUGAGUAGGAGGGUACAAUGGUGUGCUUAGAAGUGUUUGGCGUAAGCCUGCAUGGAGCCGCCAUUGGUACAGAUCUUGGUGGUAGUAGCAAAUAAUCGAAUGAGACCUUGGAGGACUGAAGUGGAGAAGGGUUUCGUGUGAACAGUGGUUGAUCACGAGUUAGUCGGUCCUAAGUUCAAGGCGAAAGCUGAAAAUUUUCAAGUUUUAAUAAAAUUUUUAAAUUAAUUAUUAUUAUUAAUACACUUGAAUAAUUUUGAACGAAAGGGAAUACGGUUCCAAUUCCGUAACCUGUUGAGUAUCCGUUUGUUAUUAAAAAUGGGCCUUGUGCUCAUCCUGGCAACAGGAACGACCAUAAAGAAGCCGUCGAGAGAUAUCGGAAGAGUUUUCUUUUCUGUUUUAUAGUCGUACUACCAUGGAAGUCUUUCGAAGAGAGAUAUGGUAGAUGGACUAGAAGAGCAUGACAUUUACUGUUGUGUCGAUAUUUUCUCCUCGGACCUUGAAAAUUUAUGGUGGGGUCACGCAAACUUCUCAACAGGCCGUACCGAUAU
rnacentral:rRNA from 1 species